GCAGUCUGCAACUCGACUGCACGAAGCUGGAAUCGCUAGUAAUCGCGGAUCAGCACGCCGCGGUGAAUACGUUCCCGGGCCUUGUACACACCGCCCGUCACACCAUGGAAGUCUGCAAUGCCCGAAGCCGGUGGCCUAACCACUUAUGUGGAAGGAGCCGUCUAAGGCAGGGCAGAUGACUGGGGUGAAGUCGUAACAAGGUAAC
rnacentral:rRNA from 1 species